rnacentral:rRNA from 1 species
AACAAGGUCUCCGUUGGUGAACCAGCGGAGGGAUCAUUACCGAGUUUACAACUCCCAAACCCCUGUGAACAUACCACUUGUUGCCUCGGCGGAUCAGCCCGCUCCCGGUAAAACGGGACGGCCCGCCAGAGGACCCCUAAACUCUGUUUCUAUAUGUAACUUCUGAGUAAAACCAUAAAUAAAUCAAAACUUUCAACAACGGAUCUCUUGGUUCUGGCAUCGAUGAAGAACGCAGCAAAAUGCGAUAAGUAAUGUGAAUUGCAGAAUUCAGUGAAUCAUCGAAUCUUUGAACGCACAUUGCGCCCGCCAGUAUUCUGGCGGGCAUGCCUGUUCGAGCGUCAUUUCAACCCUCAAGCACAGCUUGGUGUUGGGACUCGCGUUAAUUCGCGUUCCCCAAAUUGAUUGGCGGUCACGUCGAGCUUCCAUAGCGUAGUAGUAAAACCCUCGUUACUGGUAAUCGUCGCGGCCACGCCGUUAAACCCCAACUUCUGAAUGUUGACCUCGGAUCAGGUAGGAAUACCCGCUGAACUUAAGCAUAUCAAUAAA